rnacentral:rRNA from 1 species
AGAGUUUGAUCCUGGCUCAGAACGAACGCUAGCGGCAGGCUUAACACAUGCAAGUCGAGGGGCAGCGCUGGGAGCAAUCCCUGGCGGCGACCGGCGGAAGGGUGCGUAACACGUGAGCAACUUGCCCGUGACAGGGGAAAAAGCGUUGGAAACGACGUCUAAUGCCCCAUGCGACGGAACCCCGCAUGAGGUUCCGUUGAAAGCUCCGGUGGUCACGGAUGGGCUCGCGCAGCAUUAGCUAGUUGGCGGGGCAACGGCCCACCAAGGCGACGAUGCUUAGGGGUUCUGAGAGGAAGAUCCCCCACACUGGGACUGAGACACGGCCCAGACUCCUACGGGAGGCAGCAGUGAGGAAUAUUGGUCAAUGGGCGGAAGCCUGAACCAGCCAUGCCGCGUGAAGGACUGAGGCCCUAUGGGUCGUAAACUUCUUUUGUCCGGGAGCAAUAAGGGGGACGUGUCCCCCGAUGAGAGUACCGGGCGAAUAAGCAUCGGCUAAUUCCGUGCC